CCUACGGGUGGCAGCAGUAGGGAAUAUUGCUCAAUGGGGGAAACCCUGAAGCAGCAACGCCGCGUGGAUGAUGAAGGUUUUCGGAUUGUACACUCCUUUUGUUAGAGAAGAUAAUGACGGUAUCUAACGAAUAAGCACCGGCUAACUCCGUGCCAGCAGCCGCGGUAAUACGGAGGGUGCAAGCGUUACUCGGAAUCACUGGGCGUAAAGAGCGCGUAGGCGGGAUAGCAAGUCAGAUGUGAAAUCCUAUGGCUUAACCAUAGAACUGCAUUUGACACUGUUAGUCUAGAGUAUGGGAGAGGGAGGUGGAAUUCUUGGUGUAGGGGUAAAAUGCGUAGAGAUCAAGAGGAAGACUCGUGGCGAAGGCGACCUGCUAGAACAUAACUGACGCUGAGGCGCGAAAGCGUGGGGAGCAAACAGGAUUAGAUACCCGUGUAGUC
rnacentral:rRNA from 1 species